rnacentral:rRNA from 1 species
GGGGGGGGUAACAGAGUAGCUUGCUCCUGCUGACGACCGGCGCACGGGUGCGUAACGCGUAUACAAUCUACCUUUUGCUGAGGGAUAGCCCAGAGAAAUUUGGAUUAACCCCUCAUGGUAUUGUUGAAUGGCAUCGUUCAAUAAUUAAAGGUUACGGCAAGAGAUGAGUAUGCGUCCUAUUAGUUAGUUGGUAAGGUAACGGCUUACCAAGACCGCGAUAGGUAGGGGCCCUGAGAGGGGGAUCCCCCACACUGGUACUGAGACACGGACCAGACUCCUACGGGAGGCAGCAGUGAGGAAUAUUGGACAAUGGGCGGGAGCCUGAUCCAGCCAUGCCGCGUGCAGGAAGACUGCCCUAUGGGUUGUAAACCACUUUUACAUGGGAAGAAAAACGCCCACGUGUGGGUUACUGACGGUACUGUAAGAAUAAGGACCGGCUAACUCCGUGCCAGCAGCCGCGGUAAUACGGAGGGUCCGAGCGUUAUCCGGAAUUAUUGGGUUUAAAGGGUCCGUAGGCGGGCUAAUAAGUCAGGGGUGAAAGUUUGCAGCUCAACUGUAAAAUUGCCUUUGAUACUGUUAGUCUUGAGUUAUAGUGAAGUUGGCGGAAUAUGUAGUGUAGCGGUGAAAUGCAUAGAUAUUACAUAGAACACCGAUUGCGAAGGCAGCUGACUAACUAUUAACUGACGCUGAGGGACGAAAGCGUGGGGAGCGAACAGGAUUAGAUACCCUGGUAGUCCACGCCGUAAACGAUGGAUACUAGCUGUUCGGACUUCGGUCUGAGUGGCUAAGCGAAAGUGAUAAGUAUCCCACCUGGGGAGUACGUUCGCAAGAAUGAAACUCAAAGGAAUUGACGGGGGCCCGCACAAGCGGUGGAGCAUGUGGUUUAAUUCGAUCAUAUGCGAGGAACCUUACCAGGGCUUAAAUGUAUUUUGACAGGUUUAGAGAUAGACUUUCCUUCGGGCAAUUUACAAGGUGCUGCAUGGUUGUCGUCAGCUCGUGCCGUGAGGUGUCAGGUUAAGUCCUAUAACGAGCGCAACCCCUGUUGUUAGUUGCCAGCGAGUCAUGUCGGGAACUCUAACAAGACUGCCGGUGCAAACCGUGAGGAAGGUGGGGAUGACGUCAAAUCAUCACGGCCCUUACGUCCUGGGCCACACACGUGCUACAAUGGUAGGUACAGAGAGCAGCCAUGUCGCAAGGCAGAGCGAAUCUAUAAAACCUAUCACAGUUCGGAUCGGAGUCU